CCUACGGGUGGCUGCAGUGGGGAAUAUUGGACAAUGGGGGGAACCCUGAUCCAGCCAUGCCGCGUGUGUGAAGAAGGCCCUCGGGUUGUAAAGCACUUUCAGUGAGGAAGAACGCCUGGUGGUUAAUACCCAUCAGGAAAGACAUCACUCACAGAAGAAGCACCGGCUAACUCCGUGCCAGCAGCCGCGGUAAUACGGAGGGUGCGAGCGUUAAUCGGAAUUACUGGGCGUAAAGCGCGCGUAGGUGGCUUGAUAAGCCGGUUGUGAAAGCCCCGGGCUCAACCUGGGAACGGCAUCCGGAACUGUCAAGCUAGAGUGCAGGAGAGGAAGGUAGAAUUCCCGGUGUAGCGGUGAAAUGCGUAGAGAUCGGGAGGAAUACCAAUGGCGAAGGCGGCCUUCUGGACUGACACUGACACUGAGGUGCGAAAGCGUGGGUAGCAAACAGGAUUAGAUACCCUAGUAGUC
rnacentral:rRNA from 1 species